GACGAACGCUGGCGGCGCGCCUAACACAUGCAAGUCGAACGGGUAUCAUGUAGAAGCUUGCUUAGACAUGAUUUUAGUGGCGGACGGGUGAGUAACGCGUGAGGACUUGUCAGUUACAGGGGGACAACGGAUGGAAACGUCAGCUAAUACCCCAUAAGCCGAGAGGUAAAAGGAGCGAUCCGGUAACAGAGAGACUCGCGUUCCAUCAGCUAGUUGGAGGGUAAAAGCUC
rnacentral:rRNA from 1 species